AGGGGCGGGGCGGCGGGAGGAAGUGCGAGCCGGGCGCCCCGAGAGCCAGAGGAGUGCCUCUCUCGGGCUGGCACCCAGCUGUGGCUCAGGACGGUAUGUCCAGUUGAUCGCCUGGCCAGACAAACCAAAAGGACAAGGAGGAGAAGAGCAGAGUGAGGAAGAGAGGAAGGAAAGAAGGAAGGAUGGACGGAAGAGGGGCUGACUUACAAGAAGAAACAAAGUGAAGAAAUGAAUAAAAGAACAAAUGCUUGCAUUGAUGACGAAUA